GGAUGUGAGGGCAAUCUGUUGUGACAGCUGUCACUGCGUUGACCACUGCAUUGAUCUCCAGGGUUGACUUGGCCGAUCUGGCUAGCUGGGCAGGUGUCCCCUUUCUCCCCCAGCGCUCCAGCUCCAUGCACAUCCCUCCCAAAGCUGUGUGCUUGCUGGAAGUGGAUGACCUUCCCUGAAGAGGAGGACAUUCUUGGGUCAAGGGUAUUUGAGUAGCUGCAGUCUCCUGCUAGAAUCUCUAAACAAACUCUCAAGGUCCAUUUGUAGGAAAAUGUAGGGUGGUCAAGCUUUCAAGGAUCCAGACACAUCCAAGUGAGAUGCCGCAUAUGGUAGUCUGCCUUUCUU
ensembl:misc_RNA 7SK 7SK RNA